rnacentral:rRNA from 1 species
UACAGAGGUCUCAAGCGUUGUUCGGAUUCAUUGGGCGUAAAGGGUGCGUAGGUGGCAGGGUAAGUCGGAUGUGAAAUCCCGGGGCUCAACCUCGGAACUGCAUUCGAUACUGCUUUGCUGGAGUACUGGAGAGGAGAUUGGAAUUUACGGUGUAGCAGUGAAAUGCGUAGAUAUCGUAAGGAAGACCAGUGGCGAAGGCGGAUCUCUGGACAGUUACUGACACUGAGGCACGAAGGCCAGGGGAGCAAACAGG